rnacentral:lncRNA from 1 species
UUUGAAUACAUUGAAAUAAAUUAUCCUUUCAUUUAUAGGUUAAGAGAAACAAAAAAAAUAUAAUUUUUAUUUUUUAUAGUUGAAAGAGAAAGAUAACAAAAAGACACAAAAAGGAAGCUCCAGAGAUACAGUAAACCAGACAGAAAUAAAGUAAAAUGAGCAAAAUCCAAGCCACAAAGACAUGAGCAGCUGCGACACCUUUUUUAUCAAAGAAAUCUGCAGUCGAAUUAGCUUCCCUGAAGAUAUGGACAAAUUCAACUCGUUCGAUGUGGUUAACUAAGAGAUCCAAUUCAUUGAAAAAUCUCCAGAGUUUCCAUGGUCUGUCAUCUUUCUUGUUAACCAGUGAAAUAGCAUACAUUGAAUCCGAUUCCACCAGAAGAUCGAAGCUGCCACAACAAGGGGAGUCAACAAAUAAUUGCAUAUAGUUCAGCCAUGAUGGAAGCCAUGCUGCCCAUAGGGCCGUAAAAUAAGCUCUUCAGAUUACCGAUAAACAUGGACAUUAAUUUCAGUUUGGUUUUCAAGCGAAAUCCCACUCUUCCUUCCACGAGAAAACCCUUCCAUUUUUCUGCAAUCAUAGGCUUGAAAUCCCUAUGGUUCAUCCAGCACUCAUAAAACUUGAAAGGUCGAGGUCCCCAGUCAGCCAUUUCAGACAAUAGAACAAGAGGGCAAUGGUCUGAUAUACUUCUCUUUCUGACAUAAGCCUUCAAAUUUCCUAAUCCAAUCUGCUGAAACCAAAAACC